AACUACAGGAGAAUUGUUGAUUUUAAAAAAGAAGAAGAGAGACUUAACCAAGAAAUUAAAAAAAACGCUUUACGAAUAGAAAUAUAACUAAAUUAUAGUGUAUUUAUUUCUUGUGAAUGAAAAUAUUGAGUGAUUUUAUUUUUUGUGAACGAUUAUUAGUGAAAUCUCGACAUAUACUUUGAUGAACAAACGUAUAAUAAGUGAUUGGUUGUUUUUUAUUGCUACGAAUGGACGAUGGAAAAAAAUAAAAGUUGUUUAUGUUUAAAAGCCACCAACUGCAAACUUAUGCAUUUCAAUGUUUUGAAAGUCAAGUUCAUGAAUCGGCUUUAACGUUAAAUAGAUUUUGGAAAAAUUAGACAUUGGACCAGUUCGAGAAAAAUGUUACUUUCAAUUCCCGAUUUUGUCACGAUGGGGGACACAACUCUACCUUUAGGACACUAAAAGUCUCUCCGCAGUUCUGAUUAUAAGUCAUUUUUGUAAACAGUGUUUUGUACGUUGCUAGAUUAUUAAGAUGUUACGAAGACCGCCGACAAGUAUUGAAUUAAAGUUAGAUGAUAUCACAGAAUACGAGGAAAUGAAACAAAGUAAAGAAAAACAGCAACAAUCAUUUAACGACCUACCUACAUGGAAGCCAGGUCCAAAAAGUAAUAAAGAAAUAUAUUCUCGUGUGGGUUAUGUACCAUCGGAUCAAGUUAGGAAUACGUGCUUCGACGAAUUACAAUCCUCAUCCAAAUAAUUGAAUUUUUGUAGUUAAUUGAGUAUUGUUCCAAAUAUAUUUUGAUACGUGUUUUUCUGUUUUAAACUGGAGGUAUUUAAUCAUACAGAUUUAUAUGUUAUUAAAUAUUUGUUGUAUAAUUUCUAAAUUUUCUUGUGUAAUAUAUCAUAUAUUUACAUCACUUGAUUAAAAUAUUGAUGUAUGUACAUUUCCAACAAAGUUAUCGUCUUUA